GACGAGCGCUGGCGGCGUGCCUAAUACAUGCAAGUUGAGCGAUGAAGAUUGGUGCUUGCACCAAUUUGAAGAGCAGCGAACGGGUGAGUAACGCGUGGGGAAUCUGCCUUUGAGCGGGGGACAACAUUUGGAAACGAAUGCUAAUACCGCAUAACAACUUUAAACAUAAGUUUUAAGUUUGAAAGAUGCAAUUGCAUCACUCAAAGAUGAUCCCGCGUUGUAUUAGCUAGUUGGUGAGGUAAAGGCUCACCAAGGCGAUGAUACAUAGCCGACCUGAGAGGGUGAUCGGCCACAUUGGGACUGAGACACGGCCCAAACUCCUACGGGAGGCAGCAGUAGGGAAUCUUCGGCAAUGGACGAAAGUCUGACCGAGCAACGCCGCGUGAGUGAAGAAGGUUUUCGGAUCGUAAAACUCUGUUGGUAGAGAAGAACGUUGGUGAGAGUGGAAAGCUCAUCAAGUGACGGUAACUACCCAGAAAGGGACGGCUAACUACGUA
rnacentral:rRNA from 1 species